CAUCAUCAUGAAUCAAGUCGACAAUCUACUGGCAAAUACUGUUUAAUCCUUGUCAUAUGAAGAGAAAUUGUAGAUCAAGCGUAUCGGUUCUCAUCGGGCAUUGGACAUUACACACCAAGUUGGAAAUUGCAAAUUCAACAAUGAGUGGUUUGGAAGGAAUCAUUGGCUAAAUGCAAGCAUUGCAAAGCAAUCAUUAGCCUGCUAUUCAGUGGAGUGGCUGUGUGGUCCCAAGUCUAAGAUUAAGGGUCUCUUUUCCUAGUUGAAAAUUAUAAACAUUCAACACUGGCCACGCUCAAAGCAACUGUUAACUUGGAACUGAAAAGUACAGUGCAAUUAAUGUAUUGUUUAGUGGCUUUGCUGGCAUGCAUCCCACUUUUUUUUGUUGCCCAACCAAGAUUGACAUGCUAAAAAUCACCACUGGCUAGCAAUCAUACCAAACAGGUGUAUGUGCCUGUCUGUACACUGUACAAUGAUCAUUCAAGGCUAUCCAGCCCCAGCUGACAUACAUUUUGACCAUCACCACCUCUCUGCCAUCAGACACUUCCGACCAAGAACCCUGGUGGGCCAACACGUCAAGCUGUGGUCAGAGGGAGCUGGGGUGCAGACAUCAGAUGGUGGUGUUUGGGGUGGAGAGGACGGUGGACUCAGUGGAUGACAUCCCAGCCACUUGGCAGUGUUGGCACUGUUUACUUCCUGCCUGACGAAUAAGAGGACAUAACUUCUCCUUAUACAAUUAAUCAAGCAAAAUUAUAUAUAUUUUUUUUACAUCAGCAGGUGUCACAAAGUGUUUUUACAGUAAGCCGGCCUGCACCAGGGGAACCCUGCUUCUGCCAUCUCUUUCUACAUGUGUGAUGUCAUAUCAUGUUCCUGUUUAGGCACCAGAUCAGCCAAAUGCAGGAGGAGUUGAAGGCGGAACAUGUCUUGUACCUGCGACAGCACCAGGAGCUCCGUGCCACGAUGGCCGACUUCUUGCAGUUCCUGUUUCAACAAAGAACCGAACAAUGUCUUCAUGUUCGCCAGCAAGGACUUCUCUCCCUUCGCCUCCUGUCGACCCCUGGGGGGCACCUUCAACACCUCAUUAUCUUGAGGGCACACACUGUGGCUGCAUCUCAAUAGUCUGGUAGCUUCCUCCCACAGGCACUAUAGUGAGGACAAUACUCUUCUGGUUAGCACUUGACAUUAGUAUGUACAGAGGCCCUCAAUCAUCAAAUAUGAAUGCUUUUGUGGAUAUUUUGUAUUUUAUUUUGUGGGACUGUUUUUGUUUAUAUGAGCUGCACUGAAAUAAAUUUCAAUCAACUGUUGAUAUGGCAACCGCAAGAGUUAGUUAUGUCAGUUGGUGUGAAUAAAAUAAUACAUUAU